GCUUGUGUAGCGCAAUUGGCUAGCGCGUAAAUCUGUUAAUCUUGAGGUUGCUGGGCCGAUUCCAGCCAUGAGCG